rnacentral:rRNA from 1 species
ACGAUGGGUACUAGGUGUAGGAGGUAUCGACCCCUUCUGUGCCGGAGUUAACGCAAUAAGUACCCCGCCUGGGGAGUACGACCGCAAGGUUGAAACUCAAAGGAAUUGACGGGGGCCCGCACAAGCGGUGGAGUAUGUGGUUUAAUUCGACGCAACGCGAAGAACCUUACCAGGUCUUGACAUUGAUGGACAGAACUAGAGAUAGUUCCUCUUCUUCGGAAGCCAGAAAACAGGUGGUGCACGGUUGUCGUCAGCUCGUGUCGUGAGAUGUUGGGUUAAGUCCCGCAACGAGCGCAACCCCUAUCUUAUGUUGCCAGCACUUCGGGUGGGAACUCAUGAGAGACUGCCGCAGACAAUGCGGAGGAAGGCGGGGAUGACGUCAAAUCAUCAUGCCCCUUAUGACCUGGGCUACACACGUACUACAAUGGGAGUUAAUAGACGGAAGCAAUACCGCGAGGUGGAGCAAACCCGAGAAACACUCUCUCAGUUCGGAUCGUAGGCUGCAACUCGCCUA